UCCUACGGGGGGCUGCAGUGGGGAAUAUUGGACAAUGGGCGAAAGCCUGAUCCAGCCAUGCCGCGUGUGUGAAGAAGGUCUUCGGAUUGUAAAGCACUUUAAGUUGGGAGGAAGGGCAUUAACCUAAUACGUUAGUGUUUUGACGUUACCGACAGAAUAAGCACCGGCUAACUCUGUGCCAGCAGCCGCGGUAAUACAGAGGGUGCAAGCGUUAAUCGGAAUUACUGGGCGUAAAGCGCGCGUAGGUGGUUCGUUAAGUUGGAUGUGAAAGCCCCGGGCUCAACCUGGGAACUGCAUUCAAAACUGUCGAGCUAGAGUAUGGUAGAGGGUGGUGGAAUUUCCUGUGUAGCGGUGAAAUGCGUAGAUAUAGGAAGGAACACCAGUGGCGAAGGCGACCACCUGGACUGAUACUGAC
rnacentral:rRNA from 1 species